UGAGACCAUCAGUGCUCAUGGAACGUCACUCAUCCAGUCAGAUUCGAGGAUCGGAACUAAUUGUUUUAUAGAAGUAAUAAUAUUAAUAAACUACAAAAUAACGGGGGCCUAUGGGUAGCUCAGCGAGUAUUGAUGCUGUCUACCAUGCCUGGAGUCGCAAGUUCGAAUCCAGGGUGUGCUGAGUGACUCCAGCCAGGUCUCCAACCAAAUUGGCCCGGUUGCUAGGGAGGGUAGAGUCACAUGGGGUAACAUCCUCGUGGUCGCGAUUAGGGGUUCUCGCUCUCAAUGGGGUGUGUGGUAAGUUGUGUGUGGAUUGCGGAGAGUAGCAUGAGCCUCCCAUGCUGUGAGUCUCUGCAGUGUCAUGCACAACGAUCCACGUGUUAAGAUGCGUGGAUUGCAGAUGUGCAUGAGCCUCCCAUGCUGAGGCAACUGAGAAUUGUCCUCCUCCACCUAGAUUGAGGUGAGUAACCGCGCCACCACGAGGGCCUGCUAAGUAGUGGUAAUUGGGCAUUCCAAAUUGGGAGAACAGGGGAUAAAGAAAAAAACAAACAAACUACAAAAUAAGGUUCUUUUCAUUAAGUGCAUCCUUUUAUCCAUGUUCUUAGAAGAAAAAAAACACCAUGUCACUGACCCAAUUAAAGACAGUACACAAUUAACAUUCAUAUAACAUAACUUUAUAUUAAUGGUCUCUUAUGGUUUUCAUACUGAUCAACAGGAAAAAACAAGCCAAUGUGAAGUUGAAAAAGACAAUACUUAUUGAUAGACCAAAACAACAAAAAUCCUCUUAUCGAGGACAUCAAGGACUACAAACCCCGGGAGAAAGAUCUGAUCACUCUACUCAAGCAUGUGAUCUGUCUGCUGCUGGCUGUGGGCGUGACACUGAUCACUCUGUUUUCCAUCGUAAGACACCUCAUCAAAGAUCUCAUCCACGAUCUGGCAGAUUUCCUGUUUAGAGAGCAGCCUGUGGAAGAGCAUGUGAAUCCCUUGGAAAGGCGUAAACUGGAUUUCUGACACCAGCCCUGAAAUGGAGGCCAUGAUGAAAGCUGAAGAGAUCGAAGUACUCAUGGAGGGCACAGAAGAUAUGUCAGCCAUCUGGGUUAUAUCAGAUGGGCGUAAACUGUGUACCCCAUCCUCCCGUCCCAGAGUUAAUAGCAUCAGCUAGCUUAAAAAAAUGCCUGAAAUAAAUAGAUGAGGAAGAAGAAAAGGAGGUGGAAAAGCAUGCAUUUUAUGAAAACAAACCAAGAAUUGGAAGCAAAUGAGGAAACCAAGCAGACCACUUUCUAACGAGAGUAACUUGACUUAUAGGGUCACAGUCAAGUCAUGUACAGCUUUGCGUGUAUUAAGAA